UUGCUCUUCAACGAGGAAUGCCUAGUAAGCGCGUGUCAUCAGCAUGCGUUGAUUACGUCCCUGCCCUUUGUACACACCGCCCGUCGCUACUACCGAUUGAAUGGCUCAGUGAGGCCUUCGGACUGGCUUAGGGAGGUUGGCAACGACCACCUUGAGCCGGAAAGUUCGUCAAACUCGGUCAUUUAGAGGAAGUAAAAGUCGUAACAAGGUUUCCGUAGGUGAACCUGCGGAAGGAUCAUUACACUCAGUAGUUUACUACUGUAAAGGAGGUUGUUAGUCUGUAUAGCGCAAGCUGAUGAGCAGCGGGCCUCUUUUAUCUACCCUUGUCUUUUGCGUACCCACGUUUCCUCGGCAGGCUUGCCUGCCGAUUGGACAAACCUAUAACCUUUUUAAUUUUCAAUCAGCGUCUGAAAAACUUAAUAAUUACAACUUUCAACAACGGAUCUCUUGGUUCUGGCAUCGAUGAAGAACGCAGCGAAAUGCGAUAAGUAGUGUGAAUUGCAGAAUUCAGUGAAUCAUCGAAUCUUUGAACGCACAUUGCGCCCCUUGGUAUUCCAUGGGGCAUGCCUGUUCGAGCGUCAUUUGUACCCUCAAGCUCUGCUUGGUGUUGGGUGUUUGUCCUCUCCCUCGUGUUUGGACUCGCCUUAAAAUAAUUGGCAGCCAGUGUUUUGGUAUUGAAGCGCAGCACAAGUCGCGAUUCGUACCCAACGCUUGCGUCCACAAGCCUUUUUUAACUUUUGACCUCGGAUCAGGUAGGGAUACCCGCUGAACUUAAGCAUAUCAAUAAGCGGAGGA
rnacentral:rRNA from 1 species